AUAAUAUAAGAUUUAACCUGCCCACUGAAUAAUUGAAUGGCCGCGGUAUUUUGACCGUGCAAAGGUAGCAUAAUAAUUAGUUUUUUGAUUGAAAGCUGGAAUGAAUGGUUGGACGAGAAAAUUACUGUCUCUGAUUAAAUUUUGAUAAAACUUUAUUUUUAAGUUAAAAAGCUUAAAUGUUGUUAAAAGACGAGAAGACCCUAUAGAGUUUAAUAAUUUUUUAAUAAUAUAAUUUUAGGUAUUUAAAUUUUGUUUUUAAAAUAUUAUUUUAUUGGGGUGAUAGAAAGAUUAAAUAAACUCUUUUUUUAUUUGUACAUUUAUAUAUGAUUAUUUGAUCCAUUUUUUAUGAUUAUAAGAAUAAAUUACCUUAGGGAUAACAGCGUAAUCUUUUUAGAGAGUUCUUAUCGAAAUAAGGGAUUGCGACCUCGAUGUUGGAUUAAAGUUAAUUUUUGGUGUAGAAGCUUGAAAAUUGAGUCUGUUCGACUUUUAAAACUUUACAUGAUCUGAGUUUAAACCGGUGUGAGCCAGGUUGGUUUCUAUCUUUAUUAAAUUAAAAUGUCUUAGUACGAAAGGACCAA
rnacentral:rRNA from 1 species